ACAUACAUACAAGAAGCAAUGUAGCCUGAGGAAAACAUUUAGAGGGAGAUUUUUAAAAGGAAAAUAUUAUUCCAGUCGGAGGGAUAUCGAGAUGCGACUCUCUCCUCCUUUAAAUGACUCAAUAUCCGUACUAUGCAAUGAGCGAGGAGGAGAACUGUGUACUCGAUGUGUGAAUCUGAAUCCGUUGUAUAACUGUGGAUGGUGCCAUACCUUGAGAACCUGUUCAACCAUUGAGCAAUGUGGGAGUGGUGGAUUCCUACAACAUGGGAGUGUAUGUCCAUAUGAAUCCAUACUUGGGAUCUUUGUAGUACUCACCGUUUUAUUCAUAAUUAUCAUCAUAUGUAUCCUUGUCAUUUUCAUCAUUCUUUUAUUGGAUCAAAUCGCUCUUCUCAUAAAGAAAAAGGAGCUCAACAUACGGGAAAGUAUUCUAAUGCUGUUUAAGAAGAAGGAAUCAUUGACAAAAAAACAAAAACAUGAUCCUCUCUCGAAUCUUUUACGAAAACGCAUCAAUCGAAUGAGUCAAAUCUCCUGCGAGCUCACCCUCUCCUCCACAUGUUCCAAAAACAACAACUCUCGCCUAGCAUGUGAGACAUCCCUCAUACCCAUGUCCGAGGGAGAAUUCUAUAUAGUCCUUCAAAUCAAUCGCCUCUUUAAAAAAAAGAAAAAUAAUCCGCUAGAGGAGAAAAAAAAAGAUUCAGAUCUUGCUGAAAGGGAAUCAAAAAGCAAAAAAAUUGAAGAUUUGGAUGCUAUUACUGUACUGGAGUGAGGCCCAUAUAAUAUAGGUACAAUAUUCGUGUACUUGUGUCAGUGCAGAGAUAUUAGUAUAAUCGUUUCAAUGAGUCAGCAUUAGAUGGGUGUGUCUGGUUUUGAAUCUUGGUUGACUCUUUCUUCCUUUCUUUCGUUUUAAAAUCUGGUUAUUUUAUAUGUAUUUACGUGCACCUACAAUACCAACAAAAAGAGCUCGUUACGUAAAAUACCCCGCCCCAACCGGUCACAUUCCUAUGUAUGUACAUAGCGAACUAUCUUUCUUCAUGGACCAUUUUGCAAAUGGUCAUAUUCUGUGGAUUGAUAAGCCUCUGGCUAUUAUUUUUAUUUUAUGUUACAAUGUAAUAAAAUCAAAUGGACGCUGUAUGUUGAUUCAUACGGACAUAAUGGAAUCCAUCUGAAUCCAAGUUGCAACUCUUUUAUUCCUAUCUUUGUUUUAUAUAAUAACUGUUAAUCAUUUUUAAAUGUAACACUUUCUUGCGAAAUCAAAUAUUUCCAACUCUUUUUUACGAAUUACUUCAUUUAACCUACAUUAACCUACACUUAAUAAUUAUCAUUAAGAGUUUAAAACAGGCCUUGUUAUAAUUAUAGCUAAACCAAUAUAUUU
rnacentral:misc_RNA from 1 species